AGAGCUGCGAGUCCAAGACGCUGCCUGCCAGACUCGGCAUCCAGGUUAUGCAGCUUCCCGGGUUAUAUUUAGAAAACUUUCGUGGGUGGACCUCACCGUGGCAGAGCCCACAGGCCAGUGAGGAGUGGAAGAGAAGUGAAUCACCUGUUUUUUUUUUUGUUUUACAUUUGAAUUUUUGUUACAUUUUGUGUUUAUUUUGUAUUUAUAUGUGUGUGUGUGUGUGUGUGUGUGUGUGUCAAUUUAGCUAUUUUUACAAUUUGUUAAAGUUUUUUGUUCUACUAUAA